rnacentral:rRNA from 1 species
AACGAACGCUGGCGGUAGGCUUAACACAUGCAAGUCGAGCGCCCCGCAAGGGGAGCGGCAGACGGGUGAGUAACACGUGGGAAUCUACCCAUCCCUACGGAACAACUCCGGGAAACUGGAGCUAAUACCGUAUACGCCCUUUGGGGGAAAGAUUUAUCGGGGAUGGAUGAGCCCGCGUUGGAUUAGCUAGUUGGUGGGGUAAAGGCCUACCAAGGCGACGAUCCAUAGCUGGUCUGAGAGGAUGAUCAGCCACAUUGGGACUGAGACACGGCCCAAACUCCUACGGGAGGCAGCAGUGGGGAAUAUUGGACAAUGGGCGCAAGCCUGAUCCAGCCAUGCCGCGUGAGUGAUGAAGGCCUUAGGGCUGUAAAGCUCUUUCACCGAUGAAGAUAAUGACGGUAGUCGGAGAAGAAGCCCCGGCUAACUUCGUGCCAGCCGCCGCCGUAAAAC